UCCUGUGUUCCAGCUUCACCCAUUGCCCCUUGUCCUAUCACUGCAUGUCACUGAGAAGAGCCUGGCUCCAUCCUCCUCACGAAGGAUGGAGGAUCCUCCUUUACACAUUUAUAAAUGUUGUUGAGGUCACCCCUAAGUCUCCUCCAAACUGAAGAGGUCCAACUCCCUCAGCCUCAUCUCGUAAGGGAGAUGCUUCAGUCCAUUAAUCAUUUCUGUGGCUCAACAACAAGGCCAAGCAGCUGCUGAUGAAGGUAAUGAGUUGGUUUCAGUGCUGGAAAUUGAGUUUUAAGAAUUUUGGAGGAUGUUCUUACCCAGAGGUUUCAAAGGUAUUCCAGAGAAAGUAAAUGAGGUACUAUGAUAGUGGCACCCUCUCAAGGGUCCAUAAAAGCCUGAGGUCUGGGAACAGGUGAUUCACUGCCUGGCUGGGGUGAUGACUCUAAAGGGGCAGGGGAGCAGCCACCUGCGGGCAGACAGGCUCUGACUCGGUCAAAUGCUGCGUAAACAGCAAAGGGGGUAAAACUCUCAAUGUUCUAUUACAUUUAGCUGAAAGAGUCUGGGGAGUAGAAUCCACUACUGAACUUUUUCCAUUCUGUCAGUACGUAGGGACAGGGUACACAGCCUUUUUCUAUCACAAUUGGGCAGCCUGCGUUCAAACACAAAAGGUUAUGUAAUUCAUUCAGUCACUCUGUAAAAGGGUAAUUCUUUGUAGCUAGGCUGUGCUUAGCUCACAGUGAGUCACUUUUAGGAGGAGAGAUCACACACAUUGUUAAAAAUAAGCUUUAGAAGACAGCAGUUCUUUCAUGCCAACUAUGUCCUGUUUAGAUCAGCGGAUUAAACAACCCAAGGCUGUAAGUAAAAGUUUCUCAGUGAAUCAAGAAAGAAAAGGGACAAGUUUCACUCCUAGGUUCCGAAAGGGAGUCAUAGGAUUGGCAUUACCUCUUAAAAAUUUAGGUUCUAAAAAUCUUUAAGCGUUUUUACAGAAAAAAAAAGAGAAGUUUUCAUUUUGCAUCUGAAUGACUAAAGACAGCAUUUGCUUUGUAACUCCCUAAAAAGAUAACGUAGCAAACAAAAGGCAAAGAGGCAACAAUCAAAUCAAAUGUGAAAUGACUCAUCUUCAAAUGAGAAAAGAAGCCAAUUUCUGAACAGCAUGGACUUAUGGAAAAUAAAAUGUUUGCCUUUAAUUUUUCAGGCCAUCCUGCCAUUAUCAUUCAGCAAUCAGAAGCUGCAACAUAGAGUGAGGUUGCUGUAACAUGGCUAUGAAAGCUCACAGUGCAACGGUUCUUUCCUCUGCUUGUGCUUGCUCUUUAUUUCUGUUACCUAGUAAAACUAAUUAUUCCACUCUCUAUAUGAUCCUUUACACAUUUUUUGUUAGCUAUGACCCUCAGUGCUACCUAUGGCCACCUUAUCUAUCUUUGACAAAUUCACAUCUCUUAGAUCUGUCACUCUCUGAAUCAAUUUUUUUUCUAUUUACCUUUCUCAAACUGAUUUGCUUUCUGCCUGAGUUACUCUAUAUCUUGUUACUUACUUUUUUAUUUUUUUUCCUAGUGGAAAGAUUUUCUGUUUGUCUGAUUCACCCUUCUGUUUUCACUUCUCAUUCUUUCUCAUCGUCAUUAUUUUGUCAGUUUUUGUUUUCAUCCUGUGAUUUAACUCCUAUCCUGACUGCACAGAGCAGCAUCUUUUUAGUUAAUUCAUUUCCUAUUGAUUCUUAAUCUUUCUUUCUCUUUCCUCUCCAUGACUCAGCUUCUGUUUCCCAUAGUUUGUGUUUUUAUUGUAUUCAAAGGUAUUUUUUGCUUAUUCAGCAUCAACUACUGAAACUUUCAAAGGGAGUGAAUACACAUAGAUGGCUCUGUGCUGAACAAGAUGAUGUCAGCUACACAGCUUCUGAAAGCAGAUUUCAUUCCACUGACUUGUCAAUAGUUAGAAACAAUAGAACAAUUCAGUCUUUUAUAUCUGUAAGAUAUAGCUCCUGCAUUUGUCUCCUGCUAUUUAUUUCAAUUUUAUUCCCCUUAGAUCUUGCAAUUACAUGGGAAAUUGACGUAGCUGUUUAAAACAAAUACAUUGCAUGAUUCUGCAAAAAUAAACCCCAACCCAUUUAAUGACAGCCAAUGAUCAUGGAAUCACCUCUUUAAAUUAAUUAGUAAGUCAAUAGCAUUACAAUUUGCAAAGCAAUUAUAUUUACUUUCAGCUUUGUAGACAUCUUUCAAACUUGCAGAAAUGUGGAUUAUUUUCAAAGCAGCAUGUCAGCAUUGCAAGACUAUAACUACUAUAUGAAUGGAGCAUGCUACUGCUUUAAUCUCAGUUAUUGAAAAAGUUGCAGUACUGCAAGUAUCAUUUAACACAUGAUAGAUGUCCUCUUUCUCUCUUCUACUCGACCUCUUUGAUCUUAGUAGAAUUUCUUUCAGCUCUAGUAUCCCAUCUUACAGCACACCUUCCCACACAGUUCAAUUUUCUGCAUACUACCAUGAUGUAUGACACUAUAAGAGAGAGAUGUGAAAGAUAUGUAUGUUUCGUGUUGAUUCACGAUUGAAUGUUUGAGUCUCAGUGGAAAAUUUAAAAAAGAUUCAGUUCCGGAAUUUCAAGAAAGAAUCGCAGCCAAUGGUUUGAUUUAUUAGACAAUUGAAUGGAGCUUUCCAAUUCAAUUUCUCAUUUAAUACUUUUAUUAUAGUUUAUUCAUAGAUUAUUUCCUUUGGAGACAGUAUUAGAUCUUCUAGUCUGACUUUCAUUAUAGCACAGGCUAUUAAACUUUACAUAAAUACUUUUAUAGAGGCCAGUAACUCCUAAAGGAAAUCUGAAUCAUCUUCCAAGAGAUAUUCACUACUGAUUUUAUAGCAUCAACAAUGAAAAACUCCAUCUCCUCUGACAAUUGUUCUUGUUGUUUGACAGACUCACUGUUAACAAAAUAGCAAAAUAGAUAUGUGCCCAAUUUUUUAUUUUGAAUAUUUGUUGUUUUCGCUUGUUCCCCCUGGGAAGCCUUUAAUGCUUAGUACAGCUUCCUUUUGAAUGUACUUAUACAUUCUUAUUAGGACACCUUCUAUUUGAUAAGUGAAAGUUAGACAUAGCUCUCAGGACUUACUUUAGUACUGGGUUAUUUCUGAUGAACAAUCUCCAACUUAAUUCUUAACCCAUGUUAACAAUCAUGUUGGAAGUCUCUGUCAGAUAUUCUGUGUAUUUACUCAGUGGCUCGAUACAUAAGGACUUAUGUAUAUAUACUUCACAUUCUUUGUGUUGCUAUAAUUUCUUUUUGCAUCCAGGCACAAACAUAAGUGUAGCAGUGGCUAGAAUGUUCCUGAGACUAACUGACCAAAGGAAAAAUUCCAACCUUCAUCCUAUGUAGGCACCAACAAUCUGAUUGACAGAAUAACACCACAGAAGAAGAAAGUCAAGGCCAUUGACGCAGUGAUGCAACAAUGAUGUCUGUACUUAUGUUUCAGGUGUACAAGCAAACAUCAUUCUGGAAUCAUAAUAAGUGAAAAUUACACAUAAACCUUCCAAGUAGAUGACAACUACUACUGUAACAGAAACAAUGGGAGCAGAAUGGAAAAAAAUGUAAAAGAAAGCUUUUUCUUGUGAAUUUGUAGUGAAGCAAUCAGUGAUAGUCUCAGCAAAUCAAGAAGAAAAUUGAAAAUCAUUAGCAAGAAAUUACAGUAUGGGCAUCAGAGGUGAAGAUGAGACAGUAAUUCUUGGUGGGACAGGCAAUUCUGGUAAGUGUAUCAUUUCAUUCAUUACUGAGCCACUAGCAACGCUGUUGUAUACAUACUAGUAAUUUGUUACAUUUAUUAUCUCAAGAUUACUUUCAACAAGGUACAGAAAAGUCAAUACUUUAUGAUGUAAAUAUAGAAUGCUUCUUGAACAGGACAGUGAUUAUAGGAAGCCUAGAGAGUAAACAGGUUCAACUGCACUCUUACAGUGAUUGUGAUUUGAACAGGUCACCAUGAAGGAGAGAAUUAUUGCAGCCUGAAGAGAAGCUAAUAAAUCUGAGCACGUACCAGUAACAUUUCUAAAAUACACAGAUAUUAAUGAUACAUGGGUGACAAAGUACUAUAUCUAUGUAAAAACACUUUCCUGAGAACAGUGCUGCAUACAGAGAAUUUUCAGGAAUUCCUUUCUUCAUUUACCACUGAAUGAAAAAUGUCAAGCAACACUUACCUGACUUCUUACUUGACUAUGGAAUCAAUCUGUUAAUAGGUUCACUUCACAAAUAUGAGGAUUUCUUUUUUUCCCUAGCCCAGCAUAUCAUGUCACACAAGUUUUCUCAAAUUUAGAAAUACAUCUGCUAUUUAACAAAUGCACAUAAACUAAAUAACAUAUAAUGCUGAAUGGCACUGUCCAUAGUUGGUUCAUCGUAAACAUACUAACACUUCCAGUCCCAAGGUAACCAUAAACUCCAAGCCCAGAGAUAACUCACUUUAUUGUAACUGCCCCAUUGGAGUUCAAAAUAGACCUGUGAUGAAGGAAUUAACUUGUCCUGACUUUAUUGGAUCAGACACUGGAUUUCACUGCAAUCCUAGUUAACAUUAGCUACUGCCUGUAAACAGACUGCAGGUCAGGGACCAGCUUGCUCUCUCAUCUCAGCAAAGCGAAGCUCCCUCAAAGGAGCUGCCUGAAAUGUAUCACAGCUGCUGUGAGAGGUUGCUGAGCUGCCAGAAACCUCACUCAGAGGAACAAAGGCCUGGAUGAGAAAUUGCUGCCUGGAAUAAUAUUAGGGUAAGAAUAGUAAUGCUUCACACUUCUGAAUGGCCUUCACUUUUGGGUCUGAAGUUAAUAGGAAAGAGAAAGAAAAGCCUUUUGAGGCAUAUCAUUCCAUCUGAUGUUGUUCCUUUGAGUUUAGUGGGAGGAGUGUAAAAUGUUGGCAGCUCAGAGAUCAAAGACCUACAAGCAUAAACUGUGAAAGGCAGGGCCGAAGUGCAGCAAGUCAGACAUACUGAAGAUAGACACAGAAAUGACUUGCUAAAUUAUUUAACAGUAUGAGUAAUGUUUUGUCUUCAUGCUGCCGCUUUUUAUGGCAUCUAAAUCAAUUUGUUUCCCUAAAUAGAUUCUGGUGCUUUUCUGCAGUAACUGGAGAUUACUUCCACCUCUUUAGCUCUAUCAGUAAAAAAUGAAAUUAGCUUUAUCACUUCACUGUAAUUUUUUAGCAAAUUACAUAAUUAAGAAACAAUAUCUUGGUUGAAAAUAUGAAAUGGCAAAAGCUAUGUUCAUGACUAUGAGGCAGUGCAGAAUCACCUAGAAUUCUGUACCUUUAAAAUAGCCUGGGUUAUUCCUUUUUCCCCUAUAGUCUUAUAUAGGGUUUUUAUUAUCCACGGAAUAAUGAAAUAACUGAGUAGAGUCAGCUGUAACUUGCUUCACUGAAAACCGGUGUCCACAACAACUGUGUUUUCCCAGCACACUUAGGAGUGUGUUUUUACACCAUAAGAUGCACUGUUUGUAUAUAUAAGAUUGGACUUCUUUCUUCUUCCUACAGAGGUCUCUAGGACCCUUAUGCACAUCAGUACCACUGAGAACUUUGACAGAAGAGCUGCAGUCUGCCAAAGGACUUGACAGUAAUCUCUGCCUCAGAGCCAUCUCUUCUUCCAGAGUCUGUCCCCCUCAGAGAAGAGCUGGCAGAGUGAGUCGCUUCAAGAUUUAGUUCUGAUGUCUUCAAUGAAUAUGAGAAAUACCCUGGGACUGUCUGAAGGAAUUAGACAGCAAACUCAACACAGAAGUCUACGUCUAACACCACUGAGGAAGCAAGCCAUUACGUGUCAAACCUGGAGGAUGGCAAGCUCGACUCACACAUCUCAGGAAAUCAAUGAAUUGUAAUGGUGACAGGUCUGCCGUGUGUUACAACAUGCUGCAGCCAGGACCCACUGGGUAGGCGCCCGCAAAGAAUAUUUCACCCUUCUAUUCUUCACAUUCACUGCUCAACGUCCUUUUCUGAUUGACUGUUUUACUUCCCUGGCUUGGGUGGGUGUUGAGUUGGGUGGGGGGAAAAUGGAAUGAAAUGCACCAAGGGCAAGCUAGAGACUUGUGUCUAGGCCAGAGCAAUGCCAGGUACCAGUAUAGGUUGGGGACUGACCUGUUGGAGAGCAGCGUAGGGGAAAGGGACCCGUGGGUCCUGGUGGACAGCAGGGUGACCACGAGCCAGCGCUGUGCCCUUGCGGCCAAGAAGGCCAGUGGCACCCUGGGACCUACUAGAAGGGGCAUGGUUAGUAGGUCAAAAGAGGUUCUCCUGCUUCUCUACUGUGCCCUGGUGAGACCGCAUCUGGAGUAUUGUGUCCAGUUCUGGGCCCCUCUGUUCAAGAAGGACAGGGAACUGCUUGAGAGAGUCCAGCACAGAGCCACAAAGAUGAGGAAGGGACCAGAGCAUUUCCCUUACGAGGAAAGUCGGAGGGAGCUUUGGCUUGGAGGAGACUGAGAGGUGACCUACUGAACGCUUACAAAUAUGUCAAGGAUGUCUGUCAGGAGGAUGGAGCCAGGCUUUUCUCAGUGACAUCCAGUGACAGGAUAAGGGCAAUGGGUACAAGCUGGAACAGAAGAGGUUCCACAUUAAUGCUAGAAAGAAACUUCUUCAUGGUGAGGGUCACAGAAUACUGGAACGGGCUGCCAGAGAGGUGGUGGGGUCUCCCUCUCUGGAGACAUUCAAAACCUGCCUGGACGCAUUCCUGUGUGACCUAACCUAGGUGUUCCCAGCAGGGGGAUUAGAUUAGAUGAGCUUUUGAGGUUUCUUCCAAUCCCUGACAUUUGGUGACUCUGUGAUUCUGUGACUGGUAUGGAGAAGAGACAGCAGCUAUU